CAUAUUAGACAUCAGCUACUUGAGUUGGCAAGGGGAUUCACAAAUCAAGUUCAGGGUAGAGGUCAGAACUGCAGAUACAAAUUUGAAAGUCAUCAGCAUAGGUAUGAGCUUUAAAACCACUUGAGGGACCAGUGUAAAUUACAGAUGAGAAGCGCAAGCUCUGAGCAAAGAAAAUUGGUAAAAAGAAAGAAAAUUGGACUGCUUGUGUAUGUGUGUGUGUGUGUGUGUGUGUGUGAGGGUGGGAAGGGAUGUGUGUGUGUGUGUGGCAGCUAGCUAUGAUUCAUAUUGGUAUUGUGACAGAAAACUCGUCUUUAAGUGGAGUUUGGUCAUCAUUUCUUUCAGAGCCUUUCUUGAUAGUCGCUAGUACUCCAGAUUAGAGGCUACUUUAUGAUUCAUAAAAAGCUUCCUAGUGUCAACUGCACCCUUCCCAGUACAUGACACUCCUGACUUGGAGUUUGAUAAGGCUAUGCAUUUCUCUCCUUCCAGCUCCGAUGGGGUGUUUAAGAAUGAGAGCAAGUUUCUUCAGUGUUGUCGGCCCCUAUCUCUCCCAUGGCCUGCCCUCGUCUCACCUCUCACCCCUCCAAAUCAAGGCAUGUCUGAGCUCGGUCUGCCCAGGACUGUUGAUGAGCUUUCGCUUCUGCUUUGUUUCUGAACUAACAUGUGUUCUUCAGAACGGCUCGCACGGCCCCGUGGGAUUAUGACAGCUCUCAGCCGAGCUCUGCCAGCUAUUAAUAGAAAUACUAUGAGGUGAGUUUGAAAGUCAGGAUGGAAGCCUCCUAAUGCUUGUUGCCACAGUGGCCAGUUGAUGUCACUCCCAGACUUAGGGAGAAAGUAAACAUGCAGCUUGAUCGCAUGUUUGCAUGCGUGCUCAGUCGUGUCUGACUUCUGUGACCCCGUGGACUGUAUCCCGCCAGGCUCCUCUGUCC
rnacentral:lncRNA from 1 species